rnacentral:lncRNA from 1 species
CAUCGGUUAAGUACCUUUUGAUAUUACGUAACACGUGAUCGGGCAAAUACAACGAAUUAGUUCACCGCAGUUCACCCGAUGUAAUACACGCGUUUUUACAAUCAUCCUACAACCUUCUAUCUCCUCUCCCGCAAGGAGCGCUCCCGAUGUAUGUUUGCGCGUCGUCUGCAUGCUUAGUGGUUUCAUCGGUAGGGGAUCGUCUGCUGAAAAAACGCUGACAAAUGACGGCGCAUCACGAGCUUGCGCAAAAACUACACGCGCAGAUCAGCUGUACUUUGCGCUUUCGCCUUUCUGCUAUGUCAGAUCACUGAACAGUGUGUCAGAUAUUUUGUGAUAACCUCUGUUCAAGCUCCUCCCAUGUGACAGGUUGAUAUAAUGAGAAAAUUUAGAGUCAAGUGUACAGAGUAACGUCACAGUUAGAACGGUACAUUUCGAGUAACCGAGUAGCUUCUUUUAACGUAAUAAAGCCAACGUGCGUCUGGAAGAGGUGCCUACGGGGAGUUAUUACACUUAGAAUA